UACGUAGGGUGCAAGCGUUGUCCGGAAUUAUUGGGCGUAAAGAGCUCGUAGGCGGUUUGUCGCGUCUGCUGUGAAAACCCGAGGCUCAACCUCGGGCCUGCAGUGGGUACGGGGCAGACUAGAGUGCGGUAGGGGAGAUUGGAAUUCCUGGUGUAGCGGUGGAAUGCGCAGAUAUCAGGAGGAACACCGGUGGCGAAGGCGGGUCUCUGGGCCGAAACUGACGCUGAGGAGCGAAAGCGUGGGGAGCAAACAGG
rnacentral:rRNA from 1 species